rnacentral:RNase_P_RNA from 1 species
GGAGCAGGUCGGACGGUCGCCGGCCCAAGUUUUUUGGAUUGGGCGGGAGGAAAGUCCGAACUCCACAGGGUAGUGUGCCCCGUAACGCGGGGGGCUCACUAGAGUACGGAAAGUGCAACAGAAAAGAUACCGCCCUGAAAAGCAGUGGCGAGUGAGCAGUGCGCGAUUCUGAUUUCUUUUGAACCAUCGGCAUUUUGCUCGUCACUAGCCACUUGUCACUCGCCACUGCUUUUCAGGGUAAGGGUGAAAUGGUGCGGUAAGAGCGCACCGGUUGCUUAGCAAUAAGCAAGCCUGGCAAACCCCACACGGAGCAAAUCCAAAUAGGGAUGGAGGCGUGACCCGCGCCGUUUGACAUCCGGGUAGGACGCUGGACCUGAGAGGUAACUCUCGGGCUAGAGGAAUGACCGUUGCUCGCUGAACAUUAGUUUCAACGGGUUCAGAGGGACACAGAAUUCGGCUUAUAGACCUGCUCCUUCC